rnacentral:ncRNA from 1 species
AAAUUUUGUAAUUUAAAAAAUUUAUUAAAAAUUUAUUUUAUAUAUAAAUUUUAGUGUUGAUUUAUAAUUAUUUUAAAAAUAAUUAUAUUAUUUAGGGGUAGUAAUUAAUAUUAAAAGUUUAAGAAAUUAAGAUUUAGUAAUAUAAGAAUAAAUAACAAAUUUUGUGCCAGCAGUUGCGGUUAUACAAAAAUUUAAAUAAAUUAUUAUUAAUGGUAGUAAGUAUAUACAUAUAGUAGAAAAUUAAAUUAAAUAUUAAAUUAUUAGGUGAAAUUAUAAUUUAUUUAAAUUUUAAUAAGUUAUUAUUAUUUAAUAAGAUUUGUUAAUAAACUAGGAUUAGAUACCCUAUUAUAAAAGAUUAAACUUAAACAUUAAAAUAGUAAACAAUUUAUUUGUUGAAAUUUAAAUAAUUUGGCGGUAUUUUAGUUCAUUUAGAGGAAUCUGUCUUGUAAUUGAUAAUCCACGAAUAAACUUACUUAAUUUAAAAUUUUAUAUAUCGUUGUUAUAAAAAUAUUUUUUAAUAAAUAAUAAUAUUUUAAAUUUUAUAAUAGAAUUUAAAUCAGAUCAAGAUGUAGAUAAUAAUUAAGUAUUAUGAUGGAUUACAAUAAAUUAAUUUAAAUGAAUAUUAAUUUGUAAUAAGUUAAUUAAAAGUGGAUUUAAAUGUAAUUUUAUUUAAUUUGUUAAAAUGAUUAAAAAUUAAAAUAUGUACAUAUUGCCCGUCGCUUUCAUUACAAGUUGGAAUAAGUCGUAACAAAGUAGAGGUACUGGAAAGUGUUUCUAGAAAGAAUU